rnacentral:rRNA from 1 species
AACGCUGGCGGCGUGCUUUAAACACAUGCAAGUCGAACGAGAACGGGUUAUAGCUUGCUAUAAUUGUCAGCUAAGUGGCGCACGGGUGAGUAAUGUAUAGGUAAUAUGCCUCUUACUAAGGGAUAACAAAUGGAAACGUUUGCUAAUACCUUAUACUCCUUACUAACUAAAGUUAGUAAGGGAAAGAUUUAUUGGUAAGAGAUUAGCCUGUAUUGUAUCAGUUAGUUGGUGGGGUAAUGGCCUACCAAGACUAUGACGCAUAACUGGUUUGAGAGGAUGAUCAGUCACACUGGAACUGAGACACGGUCCAGACUCCUACGGGAGGCAGCAGUGGGGAAUAUUGCACAAUGGACGGAAGUCUGAUGCAGCAACGCCGCGUGGAGGAUGACACAUUUCGGUGCGUAAACUCCUUUUAUAUAAGAAGAUAAUGACGGUAUUAUAUGAAUAAAGCACCGGCUAACUCCGUGCCAGCAGCCGCGGUAAUACGGGGGGUGCA